GGGUCCUGUGCAACAAACGCUUGUGAACCAUGUCAGGCGGGGAACCGAGCAGCAUUAAGCAAAGCUUUUUGUGUGCCGCAGUUUCGCCU
rnacentral:SRP_RNA from 1 species